rnacentral:ncRNA from 1 species
UUUCUUAUUGUAGAUGUAAAAGAACAAAUAGAAAAAAACUCUAAGUGAUGCAAACACGUAAAAAGCGUA